rnacentral:rRNA from 1 species
CGUGUAGGCGGCUUCGUAAGUCUCGUGUGAAAGCCCUCGGCUCAACCGAGGAACUGCACGAGAAACUGCGUGGCUCGAGUCCGGGAGAGGAUAGUGGAAUUCCCAGUGUAGCGGUGAAAUGCGUAGAUAUUGGGAGGAACACCGGUGGCGAAGGCGGCUAUCUGGACCGGUACUGACGCUGAGACGCGAAAGCCAGGGAGCAAACG